GAGGGUACAGCUCAGUGGUAGAGCGCAUGCUCAACAUGCACAAGGUCCUGGGUUCAAUCCCCAAGUACCUCUA
rnacentral:tRNA from 1 species